GAUGAGCUGACUACGGAGAAUGACCUCAGCAUUGGUGUAGACAACAGUGAAACUCCCAGAAGAUUCAUUUGUAGAGUUCUGUUAUUGCUGCACUUUGAUCCCUUGGCUAUUCUUCCAGACUUUGCUGAGAAAUGAGAGUUGAUGCCGCUCUGCACCACUGCCAUAAGGAAUUGCCUCUCCAGCUUUUUAUUCUACUUGGCUCACAGUUCAAGAGGCUAACAUUCUUCAAACUUCUAUAUCACUUCUGUUGUUACAACAUUACAGCUUGACAGAUUGUUAACCUAUGACCUUCCUAUACGCAAGGUCUUGACAAACAGUCAUUGUGUGUUGUCUCAUCCGUAAACUGUCCUUUCAUGUCUGGUUCUCCCACUGAGCUAUCUUGGAUAACAUUAGUGCGUUUUAGCUUGGAUCGGUAAUGAAGACCAUUGUAUACCAGCUCUGACAAUAGAAACACCAGGCCUGUUUUGAAGCUCAUAGGCUUGCCAUGAAUUAGGAAAUCCACUUUCCAGGCUUCAUCAGUGUUAUCAACACAAGUAAUAGAGCCAAAGAAGAAUGGCUCUGCAUGUUCCUUGUUAAUGCCUUUUGUUCAGCACACGACUGAAAAAUGACCUGUCCUCUGGCAUUUCCUAUGUUUUGCAUUUCUAGCACGUUUGUGACCAAGAUCACUUUGUAAGUACUGCCUACAGCUCUGAUUGCAUAUGCUUGCAUUUUCUGCACCUUUCAUUAGUUGGAAAUACUUUUGUAAUGUCUGCCCCAAGUACUUUGUCAAAGCCUGACUCCUUAUUUCUUAGGGUCAUCUCAGUGGUGUUCUUUAGGGUGCCAGUGGUGUAUGACUAGAGAGCCAUCCAUCAAUUCUUUUCAGAAAUACCAAUUUACAAGGAUGUCUCAAAUUUAAUAAUUCUCAAAGUCAUAGAGUUACAUCUUGGCAAGUACUUUGUAGAGUCUCCCUUUGGUGUAUUACCGUCUCAUAGAGAUUUAUUUGGACAUAAAGUUAUAGUUAAGUUUCCUGGGGCUUUCAAAGGCUUUCAUUUUUUUAUUUCUCCUUGAUUAGGAAAGCUCUGAUUGGCAAAGCAAUGUUUGCCACCUCCUACUCCAUUACAGAUUAAGGGAUCUGCCCUACCUUUUACCACCCUUGUGUUGCAACUUGAUAGCCAUGUGUGAGAAUUUCUUCCAUUCUGAUUAUUCUAUAACUUUGUCAAUAUUUUAGUGCUUCAGAGGACUAAGAUCAGAGUUAGGUUUUUGUCUUCACCAAAGUUAAAGCUGUUUAGCUUGAAAUCACACUAGAAAACAAGUUAGUGAAAACAGUACAAAGCACGGUGUAAAUCUUCUUACUUCAGUCCAGCCUGACUUGUAUUAAUUUAGCUUAGCUAUCAAUUUGGGAUAAAGUUUAUAUGAAUUAGAUUUAGAUCAUACAGAGUUUAAAUUAACUUUAUUGCACCAGUUUAACUGAAGGUGUAGUUCUAAAAUUAUGUAAUUUUUAAUAUAGACAAGGCCUCACUGGUGAUAUAUAAGUAGUAUAAUUUAAAAUCAAUCAAACUCCCUAUUUACAUCCACUUCUCUUAUUAACUUAGUAAUAAAACCUACAAGCCAAAGUACUGGGAGACAGCAUGGGAUAUAAGGAUAACGAGUACGCGACAAGCUUACUUUUACUGAUUAGUUUCUUCAUUUCUGUACUGAGGUUUGGGCAUAGAAGCUACCAUUUAAAAACUACAAUAAGCUUAGUAGGGCAGUUUCAGAGAUGCUAGGUGAGGCUGUGUAACAAAUAGAAGCAAGGAGGUAAAAAAUUAAUGUGGUUUAGGAAAGGGAUUGUUAGAACUGAUAGAAAAAUAUGUGCACAUAUGUGCAUACAUGCAUAUAUAAGCAUAUAUAUCAAUUUAGACAGAUGGAAUCAAGGCUCCGAUGCCACCCUGAAUUUAGUUCUUAGUCUUUUUACAGACUCCUUUCAUGCUGUCAUAUGUCUGCUUCUGUUUAUAGUAGAGUCAAUGGGAAUUUUCUAGGCUAAAUGAGAGUAGGACAAAGCCCAGAACAAAAUGCAUGAAGCUCAGUCUUAGACAGGAUGACUUCCAGAGCUGCAUUUCAUACCGGUAUAACUUCUGCAAGUGCUCAAACGUAGUCUUGACGUUGCUGAAGUCACUUGUCAAACUAAGAGAAGAGGAUUGCGAGCUGCCGCAGACCUGUUGCGUGACCCAAAGCAAAUCAUUUAGCUCCAGUGUGUCCAGCUUAGGGACUGGCACAAGGGGUAAUAAAAUUUUUCUUCCUUAGAGGACGUUGUAAAAAUUAAUCCAUAAAAGUUCAUGAGAGUCACUGCAACUAUGGUGAUAUAAAUCAGAUGGAAAGUUACUGAAGCAAAAAAAAUCUCUGAGAGCUAGUUUUCUUGUAGAACAGUCUCUCCUGCCCCACUUCCCUCUUUUCACACAGUUGAGGUCAACAGGGGCAGAGACAGCUGUUUUGACUUUUCUAAGCACUACAGAUUUUUAUUGAAGAGUAUCUAGGCAAUUUUCUAAAAAGGGAGCCAUGCUUAUGUCUUUUUUUUUAAGCCUUCAACAUCUUUGGUCUGAGAAAGUUCAGCUUGGGUUUUAUAUCAGGUAUUUAGGUCUGUUUCACCCUGGAACACAACGCAACAUGAAGGAUAAUGGUAUCAGAGACGCCCAUACAAGUGAAACCUGAUUAAAUAAGAUGGGACUUCUUUUUCAUCUAAAUUAUUUCAAACUGUUUUUUCUUUAACACUUAAUCACCGCAAAUACCUAAACUAUUUGUGAGAAAAACUGUCCUUGUUCAGUUUUAGUGUUCUGAUCUUUCUGUCGAGGCUUGAGAAGUCUCAAAACACAGGUAGGACCUCUAAUAAGGAAGCAUCUGACUUGUAAAAGCAGAAAAGAAAACAGAGCAAGCAAAAAUCUAGAUAAAACAAAUGUUCUUUUUAAAAAGCAGAGAAACAUACCAUCCCAUAUUUGUUUUUUAUUCUUACAAAACAUAUUGUAUGACAAUAACCAGAGCUUCAGCUAUGAAUGAUAAUAGUAAUAAUAUUAAUAUGGGUCUUUAUCUGAGACCUGCUGAAGUCAGUUAAAGGACUUCCAUUGACUGCAAAAGAUAUUAGAUCAGGCCCUUUCAGAAUGUAUUUUGGUCAACUUUGUCCAACCGUUAUUUCAUAAAAGAGAAAUAGGGUUUAUCUCCUUUUUGCAGUCUGGGCUUCUAUCAGCAGAAUGACAUCCAAAUAAGUGAUCCAAAUACAAGAAAAGUCAAAACUGUUCCAGUAGUACAGUACAGAGGGUGUGGCAGUUUUUAAAGAGCAUGAACACCAUGAUACAUGAGAGAGCAAGGGAGGGGAGAAAGAAAGAGUGAGAGAAAAUAAAUCACGGAGUAAGACUGCAAGGUAAAGAAGUAGAGAGGUAUCAAAGCAGUUCUACAGUUUGUCUAAAACAAAAAUAGGCCAGUCAUGUUAAGACCUGAGCAGGUGGGAAAGUACAGCUUUGUAGCUUUAAAAUUUUAUAUUGUUUCUCAGCCGUGACACAAAAGAGAGUUUUUAAAAAGUGAAAAAUGUUCCAGCAAGUUUCAGAACAGGAAACAGGCUAUGCCAAAUUAUUGCUGAUGUUCAGCCUUUACAGGUGUGCUUUCCUCUCUCACCUUGAUGGGAAAUCCCCCUCGUUUAAUCUCAUGAAAUGUAGCAGGAUGAUUGUAAGCAACUUCCUACCUCGUGUCCUUUUCUUCAGAUUUUCGAGCUGUGGCGAGAGAACAGGAAUUAUGACCCUGCAGGUUACUACACAGGGAUGAAAUCGUAGGAACUCACACAGCGUGACUGAUAAUGGGGUUCUGGAAGGACACAGAUAACCAUAUAUAAGGAAACAUUUAGCAGAGCAGGGUCCACCUUAAACUAUUUGCUGUGGUGUGGUUUUGUUUCUCUGAAUACUUUCACCCACACUGCUCAGGAGAGCUCGCUUUACCCUUAAAGUAAGAAUUAUGUUACAUGUUGUUGCAUUUUAGUAGUGAAGUGUUGACCAUCAGCAGGAUUGGCAUUUAUUUUAUACUAUUUUAGAAUACAGAUGAUUCACAGGAAAAAACUUUAAAACUGUAUACUAUCAUAUCCUAUCAAAAUAGGAAUAUCUUAUAAGAUAUUUUAUCUAAUUUUUAAAUAGUUUGAAUCUUACUGGAACAUAUGAUUUCAGCUUCUGUAUGCUAUUUCAGUUUCUUGUGCUAUUUCAUUUUUAUUUCAUUCAUAUUUUUAUCUUUAAAACUUUCACAUUAAUUGUAAUAUCAUGUGUACAUUCUGUUUAACCUUAGAAAGAAUUACAACUUUGUAUACCCUAACAUCUUGUAAAAUCUUGUGCUUUCAUAUAGUUGUUUUGAUAUUUCCACAGAAACAUUUUGGAAUUUGUGCUAUAUAGCAGACCCUAAUAUUUUGACUCUUUGCCCCACAUUUGGAAAUGUGAUUUCUUUUUAACUGGCAUUAAGAUAACUAUCAACACCAUUUUCUUCUCGUCUUUCAUGUGGUGAAUAUGAGAUUAGACAUUCUUCCUGUCUCUUGUUUUCAUUCCUCUUACCCUCUUAUUCCCAUCCUAACACUAUGGCCAUAAAAGAGUACCAGCCUGGUCCUCUUCCUCUUGCACCCUACACUCAAAUUGUGUGGGAUAGGCACUAUGUCACAUAGACACUCUCCUUAAUCCAUUCUUCAAGGAGAAGCUUGAAUCUCGCUUCACUUCGAUCUUACCCCAGCCCCGACAGAAGAAACUAAAAAGUUUCUGAUUUCUUCUUAUUAGGAAGUUUCUCAGUGGGCAUUGUAUCAUAUCCUUAGUUAUACCUGCAGUCUUUUAAAAUAAAUGCAUCUUAAUGCGACUGCAGGAUAAUGAACAAUCUUUCCAAAGACUACGGUGUUACAUUUCUCUGUUGUCUAAAGGCAGUGAUGAGUGUAACCCACUACACCUGUGGCUCUCUGAAUGCGCAGCUCUUCACAGCAGAACAACGUGGCAGGAGCAAACUCGACCAACAGCCCAGGAUACAACAGAGUAAAAACAUGAUAUUUUUCCUUCCUGUAGAAGCUCAGAUGCUACGAGCCUGAUAUAAAAACCUACACAGCUGGAACAAAAAGAAGGCCACAUCUCAUUCCGUUUUGUUUUGGGUGAGAUACUGUCUUUUUUUUUCAUGGCUGAUUAGUAUAAGGGACAGAAUGGAGAAUGAAUAACUCAGUGAGCUCUUGCAGUCAUUACGUAAACGUACUAUGAGAAAAUGGUCAUAAUAUUUGAUAGCAAGUCGUAUAUACAUUGCUGCUUCUGCAUUUGCAAAGAAAACAUACAACAUAUUCCUCUAUCACUGUAAUUAGAAAACAUGAAUUGUUGAAAAGCUUAUUAUAAGUACAGAGAAAAACAUUCCAGGAAUUUUAAUUUAUUUUUCAUUAUUAUUUUAGUUAUACUCAAUAAAUAAACUAUUAUGAUUAAAUUGCUGGAAUGAAGUGAACUAAAGAACAAGACAGAACAUGCUUAAGAAAAACUCUAUUAAUUAUUUUUGAUUAAUUUCCAUCUCUUUAGAUUCUUGCUGGGAUGAAAGACAUAAUUAAAGAUUUUUCACCAAAAGCCUCAUCCAAAACUUGUGAAAGGUAACAGGUGAUGUCACCGUUCUGUUAAAACUAAUUGGCAAGGCUCUUUCAACAGGAGGAGUUAGAUUUUGAGGUGUAUUAGAUGGCUGUACAUUUGACCUCCUUUCUCACCUCUGUUUGCACUCUGCCAUAAUAAGUGAAAAGCUGGUCAACGUUUUCAAACUUUAAGGACUAAAGGCUGUGAUAGGAAAAUAAGGAGAUUCAGAGCUAAAGAUGAUUUGACUGUGAAGUGAAGAAAAACUAUGGAUCUGAUCCGGUGACUGGUGGAAAUCCUGCAACUAAGCUUUAUUUCAGUGGAUUUGGGUCUGUGAGAUAAAGGCCUAAGUAUGUAAUAUGUACAAAUGGCAGGAGAACCAGGAUGGCUCCCAGGAUUUGAAAGAGGGCUGAGAAGCAGAAUACAUCUGCUAUGCAAUGUGGAUGUGAUCAGGAUACUGCCACUCUGGGGGACUCGCAGUGUG